GACGAACGCUGGCGGCGUGCUUAACACAUGCAAGUCGAACGGAAAGGCCCCCACCUUGGUGGGGGUGCUCGAGUGGCGAACGGGUGAGUAACACGUGGGUGAUCUGCCCUGUACUUCGGGAUAAGCUUGGGAAACUGGGUCUAAUACCGGAUAGGACCAUGGUUUAGUGUCUCAUGGUGGAAAAAUUAUUGUUUUGGUGCAGGAUGAGCUCGCGGCCUAUCAGCUUGUUGGUGGGGUAAUGGCCUACCAAGGCGUCGACGGGUAGCCGGCCUGAGAGGGUGGACGGCCACAGUGGGACUGAGAGACGGCCCAGACUCCUACGGGAGGCAGCGGUGGGGAAGAUUUCACAAUGGGCGCAAGCCUGAUGCAGCGACGCCGCGUGGGGGAUGACGGCCUUCGGGUUGUAAACUCCUUUCGUUAGGGACGAAGCCACACCUUUUUUGGGUGUGGUGACGGUACCUUUGUUAAGAAGCACCGGCUAACUACGUG
rnacentral:rRNA from 1 species